GAUGAACGCUGGCGGCGUGCUUAACACAUGCAAGUCGAACGGAAAGGCCCAAGCUUGCUUGGGUACUCGAGUGGCGAACGGGUGAGUAACACGUGGGUGAUCUGCCCUGCACUUCGGGAUAAGCCUGGGAAACUGGGUCUAAUACUGGAUAGGACCACUUCUUGGAUGGUGUGGUGGAAAGUUUUUUCGGUGUGGGAUGAGCUCGCGGCCUAUCAGCUUGUUGGUGGGGUAAUGGCCUACCAAGGCGUCGACGGGUAGCCGGCCUGAGGGGGUGUACGGCCACAUUGGGACUGAGAUACGGCACAGACUCCUACGGGAGGCAGCAGUGGGGAAUAUUGCACAAUGGGCGCAAGCCUGAUGCAGCGACGCCGCGUGGGGGAUGACGGCCUUCGGGUUGUAAACUCCUUUCGCUAGGGACGAAGCGUUUUUGUGACGGUACCUGGAGAAGAAGCACCGGCUAACUACGUG
rnacentral:rRNA from 1 species